CUGCCCCGCCUGCAGCCGCUUUCCACGGCCCGGCGCCCACCCGCGCCGUGGUUCGAGGACCUCCAGGCUGCCGCCGGGACGGCUCCGGGCUGGCGGCGGGGCCGCCCCGAGCUUCAGCCGCCCGGUCGCUCACGGAAACUACGGGGGAUGCUGGUGGCAGCGGAGCUGAGGGGUCGGCGAGGACUGCUGACUGUAGGACGGUUUCAUCAACUUUACGGUCAAGGUGUUUUCCCUCCUUACUCCUACACGGCAACCUCGUGCCGAGCCCCCAGCACUUCACCGGCACAAAGAUUAGAUCCGACUCCAGUCCCUUCCACUUGGAUCCAGCAGGGACCACUUGGGUUGCUGCCAGGGCAAGGGGCUUCCCCAGCUUUUCCAGAUAAAGGGGCUGCCUUUCCGGUACUCCAGACGCUUCCAACGGGAGCCACGUACACACUCCAGCCUGCGGCUUCUCUUCCGCCACUUCAGCAAGGGACUCAAAGCGUUGCUGCAUCCAUUGCAAAUUGUAGCAGGUCUGCAUCUUGAGUGCCGUACUCACAAGCCUGCUAUCCAACAGCCACACCACAGAGCUGUUCAGCAGCAGCCCACACAGAUCCUCUGGCUGGCUGUGCUGGUCCUGCUGCUUCAGCGUGCACCCACGACAGCUUUGUCCAGAAUCCUCCAAUGCAGUCAUCUUAUGAAGCUGAACUGAUGCCGUCUGACUGGCUAUGUAAUACAUCUGAAGAAAACAAGAAGGCAGAAGUCAGUCUUGAAGCCACGUUUCAGGUUGCCGCUGAGGUGCAUUCAUCAUGCAAAGCUGAAAAGGUGGGAGUGGCACCUGUAGAGAGCCAGAGUUCAAUCCUGGAGCUUAAUGGAAAUCAGGCACCGCCUGUUAAUAGUUACACACCUUCUUCAACUGAGGAAAGCCAGCUGGAAUGUCUCGCUCCUGUAACUUCAGACACGUCAUUUCUGGUGGCAGCAGAUGGAGCACUGGAUUUGUCUCCAUUACAGCCUUCUGGCAUUCUUUGUGCUGCCGAUACCACUCUGUCUAUAGAAACUGCUGCUGCUGCUAAAAUACUACAAGAACUUCUGACCACACAGGAAGCAGAUGAAGAACGGAGCAAAGAACCAGAUCACCGCCCAGCUGAGUUCUCCCUCAUGUUUUUUCAGGAAGAAUUGUCCAGUCCAGAGCAGGAGAAUACUAGUGUUAAAAGUGAAUCCAGGACAGCGGAGACAGAAGAGAGACAAUUCACUUCAGGAGCUGAGCCUGUGAACGAAUCUGUAGAACAGACAGAUUCAUCUGUAAAAUCAUUCUCCCAGAAAAGACACAGUUCAUACACAGGCAGCUCUCUCGAUCUCCGUCUGCCGGUGGAUGUACCUCGGAAGCGGGGGUGCUUUCUGGAGGACGAAAUAAGAGAGUGAGAAGUGGGUGACGAAUGUGCAGCAGCUGCCAGCUGGAUUCCCCUGUCAGACUCCAGCAGCAGUGGAGCUUUGCCCACAACAGCCACUUUGGAUCAUUUCAGCUGUGUUUAAAAAAAAAAAAAAAAAACAAACCAAAAAACCUCCAACAAAACACCAAAGACCACACACACAAAAGCCCAAAACAAAACAACAAAAAACCAACAACAAAACCAGCCCCACACCACUCUUAUUUUGUGCUUUCUUUUUAACUUGGUAGGGUGUUGUUUAGUAGGCCUCUUUCAUUACAUUUUCUACCUGUCAAGUUAUAAAGCACCGAGUGGUCAGAGUAAUUAAUAUGAAGUAAUUCCUUAGCUGUUUGUAUUCUUUAGAUUUGGAAAGUCUGAACUUUACAGGAACCCUUAAACACUUUCUUGAGACAUCCUUACUGGGAAGCAAAUGGGUUUUAGUGCUCUGUUAGGAAUCUGUUUCACUUAUUUAUUUAUCUAUUUAACGUUGUUGGGAGCUGCAGUAUGCUCGGCAUAGGUGGUGGUUGGUGCUCUCGCUGCCUUUGCUUGCAGUCGUACCGUGGCCCUUUACUGGGGAUCGUGUAUGAAACAAAAGCAUUGGAAAGUCGCAAGAUUCUGGGUCUGAAUGGGUCUGAGAUUUCAGGAGAGCAGCUAAAGGAAAGAUGAGCUAAUUUUCUAAGUGAUUAACCAGGAAACCUUCUUCCUUCCUGAACCAGCUCUCUGUUCCACCAGCAAGUAUCUCCGUCUGCUGGUGGACGCCCCUUGGAAGCGGGGGUGCUUUCUGGCGGUGACAGAUGUGCAGCAGCUGCCAGCUGGCUUCCCUUGUCAGACGUGUAGCGGUGUUGCAAGAAAUGGAGCUUUGGCACGGCAA